rnacentral:rRNA from 1 species
GACGAACGCUGGCGGCGUGCUUAACACAUGCAAGUCGAACGGAAAGGCCUGCUUUCCCUUGUGGAUUGCGGGUGCUCGAGUGGCGAACGGGUGAGUAACACGUGAGUGAUCUGCCCCCAACUUGGGUAUAAGCCUGGGAAACUGGGUCUAAUUCCCGAUAGGACUGCAGGGUGGUGCCUGUGGUGGAAAACGAUUUUCUAGUGGUUGGGGAUGAGCUCGCGGCCUAUCAGCUUGUUGGUGGGGUAAUGGCCUACCAAGGCGGCGACGGGUAGCCGGCCUGAGAGGGUGGACGGCCACAUUGGGACUGAGAUACGGCCCAGACUCCUACGGGAGGCAGCAGUGGGGAAUAUUGUACAAUGGGCGGAAGCCUGAUGCAGCGACGCCGCGUGGGGGAUGACGGCCUUCGGGUUGUAAACUCCUUUCGACCGCGAGGAAGCCACCUGGUUGGAAGGGUGGUGACGGUAGUGGUAGAAGAAGCACCGGCUAACUACGUG